rnacentral:rRNA from 1 species
UACGGAGGGUGCGAGCGUUGUCCGGAAUCACUGGGCGUAAAGGGCGCGUAGGUUGGCCUGUGGAAGUCUGCCGGUGAAAGCCCGGCGCUCAACGCCGGGUCGGCCGUGGAGUACUCGUCGGGCUCGAGCUUACUAGAGGCAGAUGGAAUUCCGGGUGUAGCGGUGGAAUGCGUAGAGAUCCGGAAGAACACCGGUGGCGAAGGCGGUCUGCUGGGGUAAUGCUGACACUGGAUGCGGCGACAGCGUGGGGAGCAAACAGG